GACAGAGGGUGCGAGCGUUGUUCGGAAUUAUUGGGCGUAAAGAGCGUGUAGGCGGUUUUAUAAGUCUGGUGUGAAAUACUGAAGCUUAACUUCAGUGGUGCAUUGGAUACUGUAAGACUAGAGGACGGGAGAGGCAAAUGGAAUUCUUAGUGGAGGGGUAAAAUCCAUAGAUAUUAAGAGGAACACCAGAGGCGAAGGCGAUUUGCUGGAACGUACCUGACGCUGAGGCGCGAAAGCGUGGGGAGCAAAC
rnacentral:rRNA from 1 species